AGUGAACGCUGACGGUAGGCCUAACACAUGCAAGUCGAACGGCAGCACAGUAAGAGCUUGCUCUUACGGGUGGCGAGUGGCGGACGGGUGAGGAAUACAUCGGAAUCUACUUUUUCGUGGGGGAUAACGUAGGGAAACUUACGCUAAUACCGCAUACGACCUACGGGUGAAAGCAGGGGAUCUUCGGACCUUGCGCGACUGAAUGAGCCGAUGUCGGAUUAGCUAGUUGGCGGGGUAAAGGCCCACCAAGGCGACGAUCCGUAGCUGGUCUGAGAGGAUGAUCAGCCACACUGGAACUGAGACACGGUCCAGACUCCUACGGGAGGCAGCAGUGGGGAAUAUUGGACAAUGGGCGCAAGCCUGAUCCAGCCAUACCGCGUGGGUGAAGAAGGCCUUCGGGUUGUAAAGCCCUUUUGUUGGGAAAGAAAAGCAGCAGGUUAAUACCCCGCUGUUCUGACGGUACCCAAAGAAUAAGCACCGGCUAACUUCGUG
rnacentral:rRNA from 1 species